UACGUAGGUGGCAAGCGUUAUCCGGAUUUAUUGGGUGUAAAGGGCGUGUAGGCGGGAGCGCAAGUCAGAUGUGAAAACUCAGGGCUCAACCCUGAGCCUGCAUUUGAAACUGUGUUUCUUGGGUGCUGGAGAGGCAAUCGGAAUUCCGUGUGUAGCGGUGAAAUGCGUAGAUAUACGGAGGAACACCAGUGGCGAAGGCGGAUUGCUGGACAGUAACUGACGCUGAGGCGCGAAAGCGUGGGGAGCAAACAGG
rnacentral:rRNA from 1 species